rnacentral:tRNA from 1 species
GACUCAGUGUUCCAAUGGUAAAACGUUCGACGCGGAGCCAGAGGGUCCUGGGUUCGAUCCCCAACGUGGUCG